rnacentral:rRNA from 1 species
GCUGUAAAGCCCGACUUCACGGAAGGGCCGUAUUUAUUAGAUAACAGACCAAUAUUCCUCGUGUCUUUUGUGGUGAAUCAUAGUAACUAAUCGGAUCGCAUGGGCUAGUCCCGCGACAAACCAUUCAAGUUUCUGCCCCAUCAGCUUUCGAUGGUAGUGUAUUGGACUACCAUGGCUUUUACGGGUAACGGAGGAUUAGGGUUCGAUUCCGGAGAGGGAGCCUGAGAAACGGCUACCACAUCUAAGGAAGGCAGCAGGCGCGUAAAUUACCCAAUCCUAAUUCAGGGAGGUAGUG